rnacentral:rRNA from 1 species
AGCAGUAGGGAAUAUUGGGCAAUGGGCGAGAGCCUGACCCAGCCAUGCCGCGUGCAGGAAGAAGGCUUUCUGAGUCGUAAACUGCUUUUGACAGGGAAGAAUAAGGUGUACGUGUACACUGAUGACGGUACCUGCAGAAUAAGCACCGGCUAACUCCGUGCCAGCAGCCGCGGUAAUACGGAGGGUGCGAGCGUUGUCCGGAUUUAUUGGGUUUAAAGGGUGCGUAGGCGGCCGUUUAAGUCUGGGGUGAAAGCCCGCUGCUCAACAGCGGAACUGCCCUGGAUACUGGAUGGCUUGAGUACAGACGAGGUUGGCGGAAUGGACUGAGUAGCGGUGAAAUGCAUAGAUACAGUCCAGAACCCCGAUUGCGAAGGCAGCUGACUAGGCUGUUACUGACGCUGAGG